GAGCAAUUCAGUAGUAUUCAGUGCAUCACCAUGUUAUACAGAUGUCACUGUCAGCUAGUUCCAAAUUUUUCUAUCACCAAUUUUAUCAUCUGCAAUGUCAUAGGUAGCCAACAGUGCACUUUCCAUGUCUGCAGGUUUCUCUGCUUUGAGAAAUGUAUGUGAAUGAAAUCAUACAAUAUAUAACUUUUGACUUCAGGCUUCUUUCACUUAGUAUGUACCUCUCUUCCUCUUUACAGGUGAGUAAUACUCCAUUGCAUGGAUACAGGACCUCCCGUCAGACCUGAUGGCACUCAGUGCUUUAAGAGGACAAGACACUUAACCUCUCUGAGCCUCAGUCUCCUAAACUCUAAGAUGGGAAUAGUAAUAAGAAUUUGGAUACAUUCAUGACAGAGGUCUGUGAACCUUUAUCACAAAGUUGUGAGGAACUACAGUCAGGAGGCUGAGGCAGGAUUGCAAGUUGGAGCCCAGCUUGGGCCACGUAGGAACUGAGUAAGGCCCUGUCUCAGAAUAAGAAAUAAAGAAAGGCUGGAGGCACAACUUCAUACCUUAGUGUGAAGGAUCUGCACACCUUCACACCUUAGUGUGAAGGCUCUGCAUUCAAUCCCCAGGAUUAUAAAAAGAAAAAAAGAAAAAAGAAAGAAAGAAAAGAAAAGAAAUAAGAAAGAAAGAAAAGAAGAAAGAAAGAAAAAGAAAGAAAGAAGGAAAGAAAGAAAGAAAGAAAAGAAAGAAAGAAAGAAAAGAAAAGAAAAGAAAGAAAGAAAGAAAGAAAGAAAAAAAAAGAAAGAAAGAAAAAAGAGGAGCUACACGUAAACUUUCUCCUUCUGUUCCGCCAGCCUAGAGGAGGCGCUGGGCGGGAGCCACCCUCCUUCCCCGGGGCAGCUGGAGCGCAGAGCAGCAGGCUGCUGGCUGAGCUCCCGCGAGGACAGGCAGCAGGACGCUGUCCCAGGACAGAAGCCUGGUCGAGAGCAAGGCAGGGCCUCUGGAGACCCCGAGAAACGCCUGCGGCUCCUUCAGCCCACCCAGCAGCUUCUGCGCUGGGAGAGGAACAGGUACCAGCGCCCCCCACGCGCUCGCCUGGCUGUCUGCCCUGUGGCGCCGGACCGGCUCUCCUGUCGCCGGAUGCCUGGCGCGCUCUGGAAUUUGCUGAGAGAAGCCAACUUGGCUCUUUGCGCCUCUACUUAGGGACAGUUAAUAAUGUCCCAGCCCUGUCUCCUCGUGGGUCUGGCACAGGCCGACGGCACACUCUGCAAGGCCUCCGCUCUCCCUUCCGGUCAGUUGGACUCUACGCCUCCACCUUAGCCAACUCUGGGACCCCAGCGCGACCCCCAAGCAAGCGGCGCUUGGGCAGCUCUGGGAAGUGCGCGUGUUGAGUCUGCACUGGGUCAGGGCGGUCAGCUGGCUACGCCUAGGGAUCCCGAUGCAGUUCGCAAGCUUGCUUCUUUAUUCCCAAAUCCAAGAAAACACAACCUCUGCCUCUUAAACCUGUUCAUUCUCUGAUGCCUGCAGACUUUACCGAUAGAGGUUAUUUGCUACUACCAUUAAAUAAAAUAUCUGCCAUUUGCUCUCUGUCAAUCACAGGUAUGCUUUAUGAACAGCUUACUAUGUACCAGCUGUUAUUCUUCACACUUUUCGCACGCACUAUCUUAUUUAAUCUAACAGCACUAUGCAUAAGUACUCUUAGUUCUGUGU
ensembl:lincRNA